rnacentral:rRNA from 1 species
UACGUAGGUGGCGAGCGUUGUCCGGAUUUACUGGGCGUAAAGGGAGCGUAGGCGGACUCUUAAGUGAGAUGUGAAAUACUCGGGCUCAACUUGAGUGCUGCAUUUCAAACUGGAAGUCUAGAGUGCAGGAGAGGAGAAUGGAAUUCCUAGUGUAGCGGUGAAAUGCGUAGAGAUUAGGAAGAACACCAGUGGCGAAGGCGAUUCUCUGGACUGUAACUGACGCUGAGGCUCGAAAGCGUGGGGAGCAAACAGG